GACCGUCCUCUACUCCUUAUUCACCAUGCUCUAGUCUGACUACUGGAGGAGGGUUAACAGACAGUCUCUACUCUAUGAUUCACCAUGCUCUAGUCUAGACUACUGAAGGAGGGGUAACAGCAGUCAGUCCUCUACUCUAUAUUCACCAUGCUCUAGUCUAGUCUAGACCUGAAGGAGGGUUAACAGACAGGCAUGUCCUCUACUCUCGAUAUCACCAUGCUCUAGUCUAGUCUACUGGAGGAGGGUUAACAGACAGUCAGUCCUCUACUCUAUAUUCACCAUGCUCAAGUCUAGACUCCUGUGAGGAGGGGUAACAGAAAGUCAGUCCUCUACUCUAUAUUCACCAUGCUCUAGUCUAGUCUAGAUCCCGUAGGAGUGUUAACAGACAGUCAGUCCUCUACUCUAUAUUCACAAUGCU
rnacentral:lncRNA from 1 species